CUAGUACGGAAAUCCCAAAGCAAAACCCCUUCAAGAUAAUGGAGAAGCAAAAUCCCCCCCAGCAAACCCCCCGGCGCAAAAUAACCCCCCAAAACCCCCUCCCCAAUGAAACAACCCCCCCACCCCGCCCCAGACCCCUGGUCUGGCACAGCGCCACAAACAGGGCCAAGGAGGCGCGCAGGGUGGCCUCAGAAAACCAAGUGAGUUAAAAAUGUUUGCUCAAAAACAUGACAUCUUUCUCACAUACGACACACCUCAUUUCUCCACGAUAUUUUUUUUUACAAAGAAGUACAAUUUAUAAUUACAAAUAUUAUUGUAAAAUUGACUUUAAAUGUAAA